GAUUGAACGCUGGCGGCAGGCCUAACACAUGCAAGUCGAGCGGUAGAGAGGUGCUUGCACCUCUUGAGAGCGGCGGACGGGUGAGUAAUGCCUAGGAAUCUGCCUAGUGGUGGGGGAUAACGUUCGGAAACGGACGCUAAUACCGCAUACGUCCUACGGGAGAAAGCGGGGGACCUUCGGGCCUCGCGCCAUUAGAUGAGCCUAGGUCGGAUUAGCUAGUUGGUGAGGUAAUGGCUCACCAAGGCGACGAUCCGUAACUGGUCUGGAGAGGAUGAUCAGUCACACUGGAACUGAGACACGGUCCAGACCUCCUACGGGAGCAGCA
rnacentral:rRNA from 1 species